AGGACGAACGCUGGCGGCGUGCUUAACACAUGCAAGUCGAGCGGAAAGGCCCUUCGGGGUACUCGAGCGGCGAACGGGUGAGUAACACGUGAGUAACCUGCCCCUAGCUUCGGGAUAGCUCCGGGAAACCGGAAUUAAUACCGGAUAUGACCACGGCCGACAUCGGCCACGGUGGAAAGAUUCAUCGGCUAGGGAUGGGCUCGCGGCCUAUCAGCUUGUUGGUGGGGUAACAGCCUACCAAGGCGACGACGGGUAGCCGGCCUGAGAGGGCGACCGGCCACACUGGGACUGAGACACGGCCCAGACUCCUACGGGAGGCAGCAGUGGGGAAUAUUGCGCAAUGGGCGAAAGCCUGACGCAGCGACGCCGCGUGGGGGAUGAAGGCCUUCGGGUUGUAAACCCUUUCGGCAGGGACGAAGCGAAAGUGACGGUACCUGCAGAAGAAGCGCGGCUAACUACGUGCCAGCAGCCGC
rnacentral:rRNA from 1 species